UUACGGCCAUAUCACGUCGAAACAUCGGUUCGCGUACGAUCACAGACGUUAAGCAACAUCAAACUUGGUCAGUGCUUUGAUGGAUGACCGCUUGGGAAUUUCAAGUGCUGGA